rnacentral:rRNA from 1 species
GGAUCGUAAAACUCUGUUGUUAGAGAAGAACAAGGAUGAGAGUAACUGCUCAUCCCCUGACGGUAUCUAACCAGAAAGCCACGGCUAACUACGUGCCAGCAGCCGCGGUAA